AUCGAACGUGCUGUGCGUCCUCUGACUUUUGCUGGGUUGUGUAGUGUGUUGUGUAGUUUUCCCGUCGCCGUCGUAGUCUUCUUCGUGCAUCCACCUCUUCUGCACGGGUGAGAAGACAUCCGUCAUAUCGACACAUUCUUUGCGUCGUGUGGUAUCGUAUUCCGUGUUCGAGCAGCAGCAGCAGCAGUGUCGAAGAUGAUUGUAGCGAGAAGAGAAAUACAUGGAGAGAAUCUGCUGCUCUAGUGAAGGAAACAAAUAGGAAAAAAGGCGGAAGGUGAAAGUUGUCCACUCGGACUGUGCUCGGAAGUGAUGAUGUCUCUAUCGGAUAUUGCCCUGAGAUUAAUUUUCACUAUCAUGAAAUAUUGAAAAUCCUUCGCCUGCUGCGCUAUCAGGGGCUUGUGUAGUUUCCAUUCAAGAACAACAAACGUAUGAAAAAAAGAGCGCAGUGGUGUAGUAUUCUCACACAGAGAAAAACGACAUUUGAUUCUCCCCGAAGAAAUCAGUGUAGAAAGAGCGAGAGCGAGAGAUUAGCAGCGCCAGUGCCCAUUUAUGUGUUACCAGUGAUGCCAGCUUGUAGGGUGCAGUAUUUCGACUAGAAAAAAAAAUUAUCAAUGGAUCUUCUGAUUGGAAUCGACUGCCGAUCGCUUUUGGAUGGUUUGUCGUAGAGUAUCUCGCAACCAUCGCAUCGCUGCACAGGUGUUGUGUUGCAGUGGACGAAAAGUGAAAUCUCAGCGCGGUGUUCAUUCAUAGAUACUUUCGCAUUUCAUCGAGCGUGAACAGCAGCUCCCCCUGUCUUUCCGGACCCCCCGUGUUUCGCCAGCGAUUAGUGGAGCAUUAGUGCAGUGGCGGAACUGCAGCAAUCUGCAUCUGCAGGCGAAAUAGACACCACCAUUGCUGCUCUGCCAUUUGUUCGAAGUGUUGAUGAACAAUCGGCCUCGUUCGUCGUUCGUGUUCGUGUAGUGUAGUUUUUUGUGUGUGUGUAUUUAUUCCAAGGUGAAAUCAAUUAGAAAUACGGGGAGAUACGAGUGUUGUAUUGUGACGCGGAAGAUUAGACCGUGACCGGAGAGAGGUUGACGACGAGGAAGCAAAGUUAUUUUCGGUCUAUGCUGGGGAAAGAAGCAACCUCGGGGGCGAAGAGUGUGUGCGCACGUAUGAAACGCCCACAUUCCCUACCACUCAUUCGCUGGAUGAUGUAAGAAAACAAAAAGAAAGCAAAGUAAACAUAUCGAAAGGGGGCGAUGUUUGCUGGUGGUGCUGUUAUUGUUAUUAUUGCCGCUGUCAACCUUUGACAGUCAGCAAAAGCAGCAGCGAGUGGCAUUAUUGCGAAACAAACAAACCGGGCGAGAAGCGAAUUGUGUCCUGGGAGUGAGUGAUUGAGUUUCGCGAAGGGUCGCCUGAGGUGAAAACAGAAAGAGAGAGUUACACCAAUCGAUACCGUUGCCGAGCUACUACUAUUGCUGGUGCAGCAAUUUGCAUCGAACCUAGCCGCGGGAUCCGCCGCCGCCGUCAUCAUCUGCCCACGCACACCAAUAUCCAUCUUGCACCAAUACAGCGGUGCACCCCAUCAAGCAGCAGGACGUAAACGCGCGUAAGGACACAACAGACGAGACGAGAGACUGAGGAAGGGGAGCGAACGAGUGCUGUGUACCCUUUUCCUGCAGG